CCGUCAAUUCAUUUGAGUUUUUAACCUUGCGGCCGUAGUCCCCAGGCGGUAGACUUAUCGCGUUAGCUUGGGACACCGAAAGCGAUUAAGCUUCCGACGCCUAGUCUACAUCGUUUAGGGCUAGGACUACCGGGGUCUCUAAUCCCGUUUGCUACCCUAGCUUUCGCGUCUGAGUGUCAGGAAUGGUCCAGGAGGCCGCCUUCGCCACCGGUGUUCCUCCAGAUAUCUGCGCAUUCCACCGCUACACCUGGAAUUCCACCUCCCUCUACCAUCCUCUAGUUCUGUAGUUUAGAACGGCCUCUCCCAGUUGAGCCAGGAGCUUUCACGCCCUACUUACAGUACCACCUACACGCGCUUUACGCCCAGUAAAUCCGGAUAACGUUUGCCUCCUACGUGUUACCGCGGCUGCUGGCACGUAGUUAGCCGAGACUUACUCUGGAAAGUACAUUCCUUCCUUUCCUUCCAAAAAGUGCUUUACGACCCGAAGGCCUUCUUCGCACACGCGGUGUUGCUAG
rnacentral:rRNA from 1 species